CUCCCUCUGACUCGGGGAUAACAUUGCGAAAGCGAUGCUAAUACCGGAUGACAUCACGAAAACUUCGGUUUUUUUUGAUCAAAGGUGGCCUCUACAUGUAAGCUUCCGAUUAGAGAUGAGCCCGCGUACCAUUAGCUUGUUGGUGGGGUAACGGCCUACCAAGGCUGCGAUGGUUAGCUGGUCUGAGAGGAUGAUCAGCCACACUGGAACUGACACACGGUCCAG
rnacentral:rRNA from 1 species